CACAAAGGGCACCUUCCUCAUCUCAUGGGUUAAAUGUAGUUUCAUUCAGACUCAUAAGCCCGAAAUUUCUUUUAGUAGAAAUAGAGAAAUCCAGGAUAGGCAGAGCUACACAGAGAAACCCUGCCACCCACCCCCCCCCCCAAACAAAACAAAACAAAUAAAACCAAAGAAACAAAACGAAAUAGAAUAGGCACGGGUGCUGCGUGAUGCUGCCCACAGGAGCCGCAGUUUUAAGUUACAGUGACUCACAGGAAGGUUUAUGUUGUACAGAAUUCUGUCCUUGGUGAUGGGCUGCCAUUGCCUAUGCCUGGACUGUUCUGCCCGUGGAUCUGCCUGGCGUGGGGUACUUCCAGAUGCCGCCCGUGAUGAUGAUUCCUGGGAAUUUGGCAAUAACAAAAGGGUUGCAAAAACACAGCUCUAGAAAUGAACCACGAGAGUCCAGGGUGGUGUGCUCCAACUGCUGCCACGCACAAGCAGACCAGCUAUGUGACGAACAAACAGAUGUCUUGGAGUGACAGUGGCUGUCCUGCUGUGUCUUCUCGGAGAUCAAGCCAUCCAUGAGAAAAGCCAGCAUGAAAUUCUCCACAGUUUCAAAUCCUGUGAAAAACGAUCAGCACUUACUUCCCUUGGCUAUAGUACCAACUGGGACCCCCACAGCCAUGCCUGGACUGCUCUUCUAUCUAACGUGGGAGCCGACUUUCUAACAGCUGGAAGAAAAAGCUGCAAAAGAGAGAGAUAGGCAAGGCCCCAAGAAACAACACAUGGAAGGCCUUGUCAAUCAAACUUGUAGAGGGUUUUUCACAGGCCCCUCUGAAUGUCUCCAAUUAGGCUGGAGGAAGAGGAAACUGAUCAGUUGCUUCUCCCAACACAACAGAAGCGUACCCCAAGAAAGACCACAGAUACAGCAGACUGCUAAGAAGAGGACAGAAAUUAGCGGGUAAUUUCUAGAAGAACUUACAUGAAAGUGCCCAGAUGAAAUCACAUCUGAAGCACCUCUUCCUGUAGCUGACCCACUAUUUCAUAUCUCAGUCUUCAAGCAUUUAGUCACAUCUCAUACUUGAAGUGUGCCCAUCUGUCUUGUCUUCACUAUGUCUGAAGCUAGAAUGUUCUGUUCCAUUAUCUACUCCCUCCCACCCUUAAUCGUGAGUCCAGCUGUCUGUCUGAAACAACGCAGCAAGAAGUCGAGGAUACCAAUUGCCUGAAACCUGCUUGCUCUGGGGUGGAGCUUCCUGCUCAUUCGUUCUGCCACACCCACUGCUGGAACCUGCCGCCUUGCUUUUCCGAAGCCAUCACGUGCUCACCCUGCUACUGGACUCCGAGAUUAUUUGGCGGGAAUCAGGUCCCCUCCCCC
rnacentral:lncRNA from 1 species